rnacentral:lncRNA from 1 species
AAACAUUGAAGAUGAUUCGAGGUGAUCCAAUCGAACCAUUGAAGAGAUUAUUGUGUUAGUUUUUCAUGCCUCAACAAGCAACCUGGAUCGAUCACAAAAAUAGUCGCGAAUGGAAAAAAUAGAUUAAACAUUGCUUAAUGACUCUUGGUGCAUCGAUUAGUGGAGUUCUGGUGUCAUGUUGAUGUCUCAGCACUGGUUAUAGUUACUGGUUGCUUAAUUUUCAAAUUCUGGUGAAAUGAUUGUGACCUCGAUUUGCUGUUUAUUUUGAUCUAACAUUUACAUGUCAC